AAUACUUUUUAGGAAGGAAGCAACUUCCUAAGAAGUAGAAUAUUUUCAACCACACAAGUCUUUAUAAGUACACUUUUAUCAGAAAGCAAGUUUCAUCCUCAAACCUAAACAGGAUUUAAAGAACAUGCUUUACAAUGGUCUACAGUUGAAUUGCGGCCUUGUUUUAAUACAUCAAGAUUUUAAUAUUCUAUGCAUCUUUAAAAAAAAAUAAUGACAUUGCAAUGCGUAUUGGAAAGCAAGAACACAAUCAUAAUCCACCGUCUCUGAAUGAGAAAAAAUCACAACCAUCUAGGAGAAAGUCUAAAUGAGUUUUUGAGAAUUUACGAACAUAAAUAACACCGUCUACCUUUCUUCAAUCCCCCGUUUUCACUUAGCAUCACUUCAAAUAUUCACCAAUAAAUAAUUGAAACAUGGGUAUGAUUUUUCAACACUUUCCCACAUCAAAAGAGUUGCUAGUUUGUUAAGGUUUGAUAUCAAUGAUAGUCAACUUGUCCUUGGAGCUGAACCUGGUCAGGAGCCUUGAUCAACAACAAAAUGCAGCACAAGCCUCCACGAAGCAAUCUCCAAAUCUAAAGAGUUCCAACCUUUCUCAACAUUUGACAUCAAUAAAGCAAAUUUGAGAUCUCAUUUUACCUCCCCAAGCAUGGAUAUGACAAUGUCCCAAAUUCUUUCCAUUGUGUCAAAGCAACACCAAGCUACAUCAAAAUAAAGAUUAGGAGGAUCAAAUGUCCAUGAUCAAGUUACUUGUUUUCAAAGCAAAACCACAUCCGAGUCAUCUCCACACACCAGAGUCAAACUGGUGACUAGCUUAACAGGGAGGCAGGUAAUUCAAUCGCAUUGCCCCUCUGCAGCAUAGCCUCUGCACAGUAUCUGAUCAGCCUAGAGCCUGCAGUUGUCCAGGGUCUCUGCUGCACUUCUCUAACAGACUUUAAAGAAUUGGAGCUUUCUAAUGAAGGAUACUGCAGAUGGUAGAUAAUAAAGCUGGCAGCCUGCACGGUUAUCUUAAAAUAGUGAGGAGUAGUACUUUUAGAAGUGGUUCAACUGGCCCUUGUUGAUAGGUUCAUGAGUCACAAACAAAUUCAAUCCUAGCAUCAUUAGUAGUUACACAACCUCUCAACUGUCAGCCAAAAGGUGUCAUCUGCUCAUUCUUCGACCCGUCAACUUGACUUUGCCCUAGAACAGAUAUUUCAGAAUGUGUCUGAUUUGCAGUCAAAUUUUCCUCUGGCACUUCACCGUGUACUACAUUUGAAUUGGGAGGGAGAACCAACCUAUUGCUGUUACUCACUACUUUAGCCCGCCUUAUCAAUUUCUGCUUCAAAGUGCCUGCUUUUAGCUUUGAUGGCCCCUUCAAAGAGCCCACUUUAAGAGCCAAAGAAGUUGGCAUGGCUUUGCGACUGCCCCUCUCAGCUUUAAUAGCAGCUAUAAGAGAAUCAGCUGCAGGCCCCAGACCCUUUCUUCCCACCAGCUUCACUCCUAGCUUCUCACAGAGAUAAUUCAACCUUAUUUCAUCACCCCCUCUCACCUCUCGUAGCUCAAAAGCUUGUUGUUUUGAUAACAAUGUGAAAACAUGAAGCUGCUGCUGCUGAUUAAAAUGUGACUGAAGCUGCUGAAAAAGUAAUUUAUUGGAAUGUUGUUGGCCUGGCCCACAACUUUCCUGACUUUUCCUUCGAGGCUCAUUAAAUGUCACCCUCAGAAUAGCAGUAGACUUUGGGUCAGCAUUCUUUCGACUAAAAAUGAUAGAAAAGCUCCCAAAUUCUAAAUCAGGCUCCCUAAAUAAAUCAACAAGAAGGGAAGCACAGUUAUGAGCAUUCUUUGAAGGGCUCCGACCAACCUUCAUCCUCAAGGUUCGAGCACUAACAUAGUGAGCUAUAUUUGCAGCUUCCCUCAAACCACUGAGAAAAGCUCCGUGCAUAGUUGCAGGAUACCGCCUAGUGGUGGCCUCCCCUGCAAAGAAGAGUCUUCCAUCCCCAACACUUUCUGCUAAUAUAUCAUAGUCAUCUCCAGAUGCCCCAACAGCAACGUUAGAGUAAGAACCAAGGGUAAAAGGAUCACUACCCCAUCUUGUGCAGACAGUUUGGAUAGGCUCUGGAACAGUGAUUCCCUUUGGUUCAUAUAUACCCUUAAGAAUCUGAAGAACCUGUGUCACUGCAUCUGUGGGGGGCAUACUCUCAAACUUAUGUGCAGCUUCACCUGCUACCAGAGCAAUCAAUAGUGGAUCACCAGAAACUGUUGUAUAGCUAUAAAACAAAAAGAACUCCCCUCGAGUGCUUGAGUCAUCAGUCAAAUGCCCAAAUGUGUCAAGAUCAGUUUCCCAGAACACAUAAGGAAAAAGCAUUGCAACCUUAUUCAACAGCCCAUACCCCAACCUCUUUAUCCCAUCAAGCUUCCUCUGCGGCAAUUCAGGAAUAAACUUUAUGGACCCACUCUUCAAUACCCCGAGUGGAACUGUACACAAUGCCAUAUCUCCUUCAAAAACCUGACUUCCAGAAAUAACCUGCACCCCAUCACUCCCAUACCUAAUAGUAUGCACGGUCUUCUCAUACAAAAUUGGCACAUUCUCUGCUAAAGCCUGAACCAACCUCCCAUUCCCUCCCGGCAUAAAACAAUGAUCUCCUCCCAUAUCAUAGGGAUCAUCCUGGUCCCAAAACGCCAGUGAAAGCUUUGACAACAAACCAGCGUUGGCAUAUUCCAAAUUUGCACAAUGCCAAUUAAACAAGUUUAUUUCCUCCUUAUUUACUGCAUCCCCAUACACCUGCCUAAAAGUUUCUAAUGCUGCCCCUAAGGACAAAUCCAUUGCAACCUCCCCCAUCAACUGCCUAAGUCUACUAGCCUUAUCCAACAAUCGAUUAAAAGCUGUUUCAACCUUCAUAUCAGUAUCCAAAUCGACUGGCUUCCCAUCAACACCAUAGAGUGGGCAUUUAUCUCUCACCUUGUGCAACGAAUGCCCUAAUUGUCUUGCCAAAAUUCCCAAUGGAUUUCCCAGAGUCCCUGUCAAAACACUCCCACCUAAAUCUGCCGAAGCAGUAACCUUAUUUCCUCCCCCUCCCUCCAUUUUCUUGGUAUAAACUCUCCCACCAGCCCGUUUUCUUCCCUCCAAUACUGUAACCUUAAACCCAAACCUCAUCAACUGUCUUGCAGCUGCCAAUCCAGCCAAACCAGCGCCGAUGAUGAUUACAUUAGACUUAGUAAACUCAUUGGGGAUUUUCUCUUUGAUAGAUUGUGAGACUCCAAAAUUGAUGUAGCCACGCGAAACUAAAUAGUCAUAAGCAGAAUCCAGAAGGCCAUGACAGUGUUUCGGCACCGAAUCUGUGAAAAUUUCUUUGGUUACCCAACUGUUCACAUUUUCGCGCCAUUUCGCAAUGAUAUGGUUUCGGAUAAUGGUGUAAUUAACCUGCUCAAUUCCUCCAAUAACAGAAACUACACCAGCGUCAAUUUCCUCGUCGGUUAAGGAAUCAGCGGGAAAUCCUGCAGAGAGCGCAAUCAAUGCCUCGGAAGUGGAUUCCUUGUUGAUUACAAUGAUCUCUUCAGAGAUGUCGGGGACUGGUUGUUGAGUUAGUGAAUUAGGAUUAAAAUUAGGGUUAGGGUUUUCUACAACACGGACAUUGGGUUUGGUAGGAAGAGAAGGAAACUGAGGAAGCUGAAACGACGUCGUAGAGGUAGUGGCGAGAAACGGAGACACGGAGAUCCAAAAGUUGUUUCUCACUAAAUGCACGCAUACAACAGGAUACCGAGCAGCGGCCACACGACUCCGUCACCGCCACAAUCGCCUCUUCGUUCCCCGAGGUAUCGCCACGGGGGUAGCCGGUCCAAGCGCUUCACCCCGACGUCCCACCCACCUGGUCGGACCCUCGCACACCGCCUUGCUUGGCUUCUCCUUUCCGUAUUACUCCGCCGCCAGGGGAUUUUCCUCUUUGCCCCGCUUAUUUACAUCUCUGGUAUGCUUUUGUAUAUGGGAACGGUGUCGUUUGAUGUCGUCCCGAUUAUUAAGCACAAGCCUGCUCCUGGGUCCGUUUAUCGGAGUCCUCAGCUUUACGAGAAGCUCCGUCCUGAAAUGGAUGCGGAUAAUUCCUCUGCUGAUGCGCUAUCAACCAUAUGGAAAAACUCAUAUAAAGGGGGUGAAUGGAGAUCAUGUAUGAACAAGUCUUCAGGAGGAUUGCCUGAAUCAAAUGGUUACUUAUAUGUUGAGGCGAAUGGUGGCCUGAAUCAACAGAGGACAUCGAUAUGCAAUGCAGUUGCUGUGGCAGGCUAUCUAAAUGCAACACUUCUCAUCCCAAAUUUUCAUUAUCAUAGUAUCUGGAGAGAUCCCAGCAAAUUUAGUGACAUCUAUGAUAAAGAUUAUUUCAUCAGUACCUUGGAAAAUGAUGUACGGGUGGUAGAUAAGAUUCCUGAGUAUCUUAUGGAGCGUUUUGAUCAUAAUUUAACCAAUGUCUACAACUUCAGAGUGAAAGCGUGGUCAUCUGUUCAGUACUACAAGGAUGUUGUACUUCCAAGGCUAUUGGAGGAAAAGGUUAUAAGGAUUUCUCCUUUUGCAAAUCGAUUAUCAUUUGAUGCUCCUCCAGCUGUUCAACGUCUUAGAUGCCUGGCAAAUUAUGAAGCGUUGAGGUUUUCAAAUCCUAUAUUAAAUCUGGGAGAAGCUUUAGUGACAAGAAUGAAAGAACGCAGUGCAAACCAUGCUGGAAAGUAUGUUUCAGUGCAUCUUCGUUUUGAGGAGGACAUGGUUGCUUUCUCUUGCUGUGUAUUUGAUGGUGGAAAGCAAGAAGAAAAAGACAUGAUAGCAGCAAGAGAAAGAGGUUGGAAAGGGAAAUUUACAAAGCCUGGCCGUACCAUUCGUCCUGGAGCAAUCAGGCUCAAUGGGAAGUGCCCUCUUACUCCUUUAGAGGUAGGCCUGAUGCUCAGGGGAAUGGGUUUUGAUAAAAACACACAUAUAUAUUUAGCAUCCGGAAAGAUAUACAAUGCCGAAAAAUAUAUGGCCCCACUCAUGGAAAUGUUUCCAAAUUUGCUAACUAAAGAAAUGCUGGCAUCUGAGGAUGAGCUUGCUCCAUUUAAGAACUAUUCUUCCAGGAUGGCUGCGAUAGACUACACUGUUUGUCUUCACAGUGAGGUAUUUGUGACAACUCAAGGGGGUAACUUCCCUCAUUUUCUGAUGGGCCAUAGGAGAUUUUUGUAUGGUGGACAUUCCAAGACAAUCCGGCCAGACAAGCGAAAGUUGGCUUUGCUCUUUGAUAAUCCAAAUAUUGGGUAUUCAUUAAUUUCAUUGCUUUAUAUUUUCCUCCCAACUGAUCAAUCGAUUCGUAAGUUUAAAAUUGGCAGAAAGGCAAAAUUAAUAAAAAUUUAAGCUCCUUGUUAAGGAAGGUCUCUUGAUCUCUGUUAUAAGUGACGUUACAUCUAUUGAACUCGAGGUAUUUUGGGAACUUGGAUAAGAUUCUUAAUUUUUGCGUACUGGUCAGACAUCUAAUGACUCUAAAUUGCUGGACUGUUGCUGAUUAUGACUGUAUUCUGUUAAUCAAGUACACAUGACAGCGGGGCUUCUGUGUUUCAUAUUUUAAUUGGCUGCCAAAAUCAUGCCAGGUCAUUUAAAAUCUAAAGUGUCUUAUAGGAAGAUUGGAGGGAGUGGACAAAUAUGCUAUUUCAAAAUGCUUGAAAUAUUGGGCUUACAUGUAUUCAUCCUUUCCUCUUUCUUGCCAGAUGGAAGAGUUUCAAGCGACAUAUGCUGAAUAUGCGGUCUCACAGUGAUUCCAAAGGAUUUGAACUCAAAAGGCCAAAUGAUUCCAUAUAUUCCUUUCCAUGCCCAGAUUGCAUGUGCCGUUUGAACAAGACAGAUUCUAGGUCAUUAGUUAAGUGAUCUGCCGGGGAGAUUUUGAUGGUUGAUUCUUUUACACAAAAUUUGAUGAGCAGAUAUCACCGCUGACCCCCAUUUUGCAUGUUGCUAUUCUUUCAUUUUUACCCCCUCUCCCUUCGGUGAGAGGGCAUACACUUCAGUUUUGGGAGCUUCAAAGAUUUAUGGAUAUUGCAGUCAUCUGAUUAUUUCCUGGGAUUGGGUAUAGGGGGAACUGCAUGUUUUUGUGCAUGAUGUUGGAUAAUAUACAAACAACAUUCUUUGACUGCAGGAAUUGCCAGGGUAUUAACUUAGCAUUGUUUUCAUGCAUGCUGCUGCAGCUGCUGUAUCUAACAAGCUGUAAAAUUAUACAUUUCAUUCUUUCCUACCCUGGUUUGAUCGUACUUGUAAAUUAAUUGGUGUUUGAUCCAUUUUUUAGGACCUUAGGAACAGGAAAUUUGUGUACAUUUCAUCACAAAUCAGGGUCUUGAUUCUUUAAUCUGUCAUAUUUUGUUGCUUGCCUUAUCAUGUCUACGUAUUGUCUUCAUAUUUCAUUCUUCUCUGCAAUUAAUUAUUAUGCAGCUUACGUAUUGUUUUGUUUCAGCUCAAAUGCUAUCUUGCUUCUGCCUGCCUUACCGUCACUUCAUCAAGAUUCAAGAGCUACCUCUCUGUUCGCUUGUUUUAGAUGUGAAAUUGGAUUUGCAAAGCCGUGUAUCAAUCUAUACAUGUUCAAAACUUG
rnacentral:misc_RNA from 1 species